AUUGAACGCUGGCGGCAGGCCUAACACAUGCAAGUCGAGCGAGCGGCGGGCGGGUGAGUAAUGUAUGGGGACUGCCCGAUAGAGGGGGAUAACUAGUGGAAACGGUGUAUAAUACCGUAAUCUAUCGGAUCACCCAUAGGGGAUUAGCUAGUAGGUGGGGUAAGGGCUCACCUAGGCGACGAUCUCUAGCUGGUCUGAGAGGAUGAUCAGCCACACUGGUACUGAGACACGGCCCAGACUCCUACGGAGGCAGCAGUGGGGAAUAUUGCACAAUGGGCGCAAGCCUGAUGCAGCCAUGCCGCGUGUAUGAAGAAGGCCUUAGGGUUGUAAAGUACUUUCAGCGGGGAGGCGUUACCCGCAGAAGAAGCACCGGCUAACUCCGUGCCAGCAGCCACGGUAAUUC
rnacentral:rRNA from 1 species